UACUCUAAUUCAACGAAACGAAACUUCGAUAUCGAACGAAAUUCAAACGAAGUUUCGUUAGUGACCCUACUCUAUUUCAUUUUCGGAUGCGCAUACGAAGUUCGGAACCAUAGACAAUUUUCGUGAACGAAUGGAAUCUAUGAUAUUGUGUGGGGCUUUUAUGAUGUCGACUAAACUAAGUUACGGUUUUUACUUUAACUUGAAAUUAUUAAACUUUUCAGCUUUACUUAUUCAUGUAACAUUAUAAAUGUGAUUCAUUUCAUAUUUCUUGUAAUAUUCAUGCAAACAAUCUAAACUUUCAGGCAAAAAAUAUAUUUUCAACUACUUUCGACUCGACACUAUAAAAAACCCUUUGACAGUCAUUGCUAACCAACUAAUUUGAAGAGUACUAUUUCAUGCCAAAAAUGGGUAAUCACGGAUGACAACCAAAAAUAGCUACAUAAUACAAUCUAAUCAUAACAAGUCGACUUAAGAUUUUUUGUUUGAAUACUUUGAUAAGUUUUCUGAAGUGUGUUUCUCAAGUGUCGUAUUUAAUAAAUCAUGUUUCCAAGUGCUUUUAUGCCAAGGUACGAGUUCCCUAAGGAAGUAUUAUGUCGUACUUUACGUACUCCGACUUCUACGUACGUCUGCUGUAUUUUGGUUCACAACAAGUUUUGUUUUGGAUUUAAAAACUUCUUUAAAAUGGCUCCAUAUACGGGGUUCGGCAAAUCCUCAACAAAUCGAAACCGUCCUCAAUUUCCUGGACGAACAUAGAGAUUUAGCUCGCGGGAGAUUGAAUAGUUGAACCCAGCCAGGAAGAUAACCUGAGAGUCCAGCUGUAAAAGCUGCCUAAGUACCACCACCAUUGACACAAAAAUGCCGACUUUCACACCUUCCUCUCGACAUACACACUCUACAAGGAGACUGCCUACUACUAGGAGAUUACAGAGGAUGUGCCAGCACAGGUGUAAGAAGCAGAUUGUAUCAAUAUGAAGAGGAGCGUGCACAGAGAGAGACGGUGCAAAACGCAGAGCUUGCAGGCAUCAGGGGCGAAUUGGCAGGCAUCAGUCCUACCCUGUUGCAGCUGCAUAACACAAUAAGGGAAUAUGUGGAUAGGAAUUAAGAUUUUGUUAGUGUUUUGUUAGUCAUUAAUUGUGUUUAAUAUUUCUUUGUUAUUAAUUUGUAAUGUUUAAACAGGGUAAUAGUAAAUAAAACUUUAAGCAUAUAAUUUAUUCUUUUAUUAAACUCUAAAGGAAAUAAAUAACAUCAUGUCAAAUACUUAAAAUCAAUAAACAUACAUAUUUUCUGGAGCAUGUUAUGAUGUGCUUGAGUAGAACUUUGUCCUACCUAUUCCUUUCCAAAAUGUGCACUAACAAAGCUCUGCAAAGUUGUAUCUGCCUUCAAGAGAAUCUUCAACAGCUUUAUCUAUCGGUGUCAUCAUAUGCUCCCUUAGAGAGAAUACCCAGAGUCACCUAAAAUACACAUGUAUAUGAAAAUAUGUGAAUAACACUACUACACAAUAUUAAUAAUAUAAAUGUGAAAGUUUGGGGUACCGCUUUUGUCCCAACUUGUACAAAUAUAUUCAAAAUGCAAUAAAGUUAAACAUACCU
rnacentral:lncRNA from 1 species